rnacentral:misc_RNA from 1 species
UUUCCGUAGGUGAACCUGCGGAAGGAUCAUUAUUGUAUAACCGAGGUGCGAGGGCUGUCGCUGACCCGAAAGGUCGUGCACGCCCGAGUGCCCUCACACACAUCCAUCUCACCCCUAUGUGCACCACCGCGUGGGUCCCCCUUUGGCUUGUUCGGAGGGGGGCUUACGUUGUCACACAAACUUUGUAUGCAGUGUAGAAUGUAUUUUUUGUUUUUGCGAUCACGCAAUCAAUACAACUUUCAACAACGGAUCUCUUGGUUCUG